rnacentral:rRNA from 1 species
AGUGAACGCUGGCGGUAGGCCUAACACAUGCGAGUCGAACGGCAGCACAGUAAGAGCUUGCUCUUACGGGUGGCGAGUGGCGGACGGGUGAGGAAUACAUCGGAAUCUACUUUUUCGUGGGGGAUAACGUAGGGAAACUUACGCUAAUACCGCAUACGACCUACGGGUGAAAGCAGGGGAUCUUCGGACCUUGCGCGAUUGAAUGAGCCGAUGUCGGAUUAGCUAGUUGGCGGGGUAAAGGCCCACCAAGGCGACGAUCCGUAGCUGGUCUGAGAGGAUGAUCAGCCAAACUGGAACUGGAACACGGUCCAGGCUCCUAAGGGAGGGAGCAGUGGGGAAUAUUGGGCAAUGGGCGGAAACCUGGUCCAGCCAUACCGCGUGGGUGGAAGAAGCCUUCGGGUUGUAAAGCCCUUUUGUUGGGAAAAAAAAGCCGCCGGUUAAUACCCCGCUGUUCUGACGGUAACCAAAAAAUAAGCACCGGCUAACUUCGUG